AUCCAGCUGACGAGUCCUAAAUGGGGUAAAACGCGCGUUCUGGAU
rnacentral:hammerhead_ribozyme from 1 species